rnacentral:rRNA from 1 species
AUGAAUUAUUUGCUAAUAUUUUGUGAUAUUGUUCCCAUCGAGGUGGCGCCUGGUCGGUCAUCACCUCAGCGAGACAUCGUCUUCCCUCCCAAGUUUUAUGUGGAGUACCUCGACGAUGCCCCUGGCCUUGCCGGCAACGACACGUCCAUCCUCCCCGCAGACCCCUACAGCCGCGCAGCCGCUCACGUUUGGGCCGCCUAUGUGAAUGACAAGUUGUUCCCUUCGUGCACCGGCAUCCUCAAGACAGCGAAGCAGGAGGAGAGAGCCAGUAAGGUGGAGGAGACCCUGUCCGGGCUCCGACACUUGGAAGCUGCCCUGGCAGAGUGCUCCAAAGGGGAGGUGGAGGCGCCGUUCUUCGGUGGUUGCUCCAUCGGGUUCCUUGACAUCGCGCUCGGGUGCUAUCUUCCUUGGUUUGAGGCAGUAGGCCGCCUGGCCGGCUUGGGGCGGCUUAUCGACCCGGCGAGGACGCCGAAACUAGCAGCAUGGGCGGAGCGGUUCAGGGUCGUCGAGCCGGUCAAGGCGCUGCUGCCUAGGGUGGACGAGCUGGAGCAGUACAUCACUACGGUGCUUUAUCCAAAGUGGAACGUCGCGGUCACCGGUAACUAA